rnacentral:rRNA from 1 species
GACGAACCGUGCGAACGUUAUUCGGAAUCACUGGGCUUAAAGCGCGCGUAGGCGGGCCGCCAAGUCAGAGGUGAAAGCCCCCAGCUCAACUGGGGAAGUGCCUUUGAUACUGGCGGUCUCGAGGGAGAUAGGGGCGUGCGGAACUUCCGGUGGAGCGGUGAAAUGCGUAGAUAUCGGAAGGAACACCGGUGGCGAAAGCGGCGCGCUGGAUCUCUUCUGACGCUGAGGCGCGAAAGCCAGGGGAGCGAACGGG